UACGUAGGGUGCGAGCGUUAAUCGGAAUUACUGGGCGUAAAGCGCGCGUAGGCGGCUUUGCAAGUCGGGUGUGAAAUCCCCAGGCUUAACCUGGGAACUGCAUUCGAGACUGCAUUGCUAGAGUAUGGGAGAGGGAAGUGGAAUUUCCGGUGUAGCGGUGAAAUGCGUAGAUAUCGGAAGGAACAUCAGUGGCGAAAGCGACUUCCUGGACCAAUACUGACGCUCAUGCACGAAAGCGUGGGGAGCAAACAGG
rnacentral:rRNA from 1 species